rnacentral:rRNA from 1 species
GAUGAACGCUGGCGGCGUGCUUAACACAUGCAAGUCGAACGGAAAGGCUCCUGCUUGCAGGGGUACUCGAGUGGCGAACGGGUGAGUAACACGUGGGUGAUCUGCCCUGCACUUCGGGAUAAGCCUGGGAAACUGGGUCUAAUACCGGAUAGGACCACAUUUUGGAUGGUGUGGUGGAAAGUUUUUCGGUGUGGGAUGAGCUCGCGGCCUAUCAGCUUGUUGGUGGGGUAAUGGCCUACCAAGGCGUCGACGGGUAGCCGGCCUGAGAGGGUGUACGGCCACAUUGGGACUGAGAUACGGCCCAGACUCCUACGGGAGGCAGCAGUGGGGAAUAUUGCACAAUGGGCGCAAGCCUGAUGCAGCGACGCCGCGUGGGGGAUGACGGCCUUCGGGUUGUAAACUCCUUUCGCUAGGGACGAAGCGCAAGUGACGGUACCCGGAGAAGAAGCACCAGCUAACUACGUG